AUUGAACGCUGGCGGAAUGCUUUACACAUGCAAGUCGAGGGGUAGCAGGAUUAAGCUUGCUUAAUUGCUGACGACCGGCGCACGGGUGCGUAACGCGUAUGCAACCUACCUUAUACUGGGGUAUAGCCCGGAGAAAUUCGGAUUAAUCCCCCAUAGUACUAAUGAAUCGCAUGGUUUAUUAGUUAAAGCAUUGCGGUAUAAGAUGGGCAUGCGUCCUAUUAGCUAGAUGGUGAGGUAACGGCUCACCAUGGCUACGAAAGGUAGGGGGCCUGAGAGGGUGGUCCCCCACACUGGUACUGAGACACGGACCAGACUCCUCCGGGAGGCAGCAGUGAGGAAUAUUGGUCAAUGGGCGCAAGCCUGAACCAGCCAUGCCGCGUGCAGGAAGAAUGCCCUAUGGGUUGUAAACUGCUUUUAUUUGGGAAUAAACCUCUUUACGUGUAGAGAGCUGAAGGUACCAAAUGAAUAAGCACCGGCUAACUCCGUGCCAGCCGCCGCCGUAA
rnacentral:rRNA from 1 species